CAUUCUAGGGUUCCAAGUAAUCGAGCAGCAGUGAGAUGAGCAACAACCCGGAGAGUUUAAAUUUUCGAUUCUUCUGGCGUUGAGACGGGUUGAGUCUAGCCAUCAGCAACUCGACUCAUUUGGGGAAUCUCGAGCCUCUGGUCUUCUUCGUCGAAGACCUCGAUGUGCAGCAACAAAUUCAUUCCGUGUCGGUCGUCGUCCAGGCUCCACCAGUUUGGGCUGAACGACAAGGCGUCAUCGGUGAAGGACAGCGGGAACGAGGCCUACGAGAGCAUUUUGAUGCCGAAUCUGGAUCAGCAAGGCCACCUCUAGAAGGACAUGUUGAAAACUCAACGAAAUCACAGGGCUCUUCUCCUUGCAAUGGUUAUUCGGAUGAUGCUUGACUUAGAAGCAAGUUAAAUAUGUUCAAGAACACAUUCCAAUCUGGGUUUCUCUCCAUUCUAUGCAGCCUUGGGAGCAAACCUUUGCAGAUAUGGGAUAAAGAAUAUAUCUCCUAGGUCAAGAAGCUAUGCAACUGGUAUAUCAAAUGGUAAUUUUCUGUUGGAGAUGUUCCUUUUCAACUCAGAGAAAUUUCUUUAGCAUCCUUGAAGUCCAAGGUGCAGAGGAAUAAAAUGAAAACUGUUGGUCAAGAUAGUGAUAUACAGAUGUCUUAUCCAUGCAACUUAAGGGAUCAAGACAAUAUCUACUUCGGUAUGUAUUUUUGUCUCUUCAUGUGUAUAUGAUUCUGUUGUGCUUCUUUUGUCAUGAAACAUGGACCUAGACAUGCUUUUGAAAUAGGGUUAUAGAUUGUUUUUUUUGUUGUUGUGUGCCUUCCCUUCUGGUAUUGGAUGUGUGAUAUAUAUGAAAGACUGCUAAAUAUCAGGCUCUUAUUCUCUUGAAGUUUAGUAGUUUAGUCUAUUAGUUGGGUAGUGAAAUUGUUCUAGUUGCUAA